GAAUACCCCUGUACUAGAGUAUAAUUACAUAUUUCCCUCUAUUUUUCUAGAGAAGGACCCGGACAGUAUGCAAUGUAUUUGACUUUGUGUGUAGAAUAUUAUUUCUCCAUAGAGAAGCUGGAUGCAGAAUUACAGUACCUUACAAUCCCUCACAUCCUACACAUGUUCAGUAGAGAAGAACAUCAACAGACAUGGAGCUGUUGCAGCAGCUAGACCUCAUCCUACAGGGGUUAAUGUGAAGGCGCUAGCCUGCUGCUUCUGAUGCUGCUCCCUCUGAGGAAGAGCAUCCCGAAAAACAUGACCUUGAUCUCCUUUUACCAGGACACUCACAUCUCAACCUCCACAUACCUGUCAAAAACACUUCUGCCCACAUGCAAAGAGUCUGGUAGGCUAACGCCUCAAACUGUGGUCAGAGGGAGCUGGGGUGCAGAUGGCAGACAGCAGGUGUUUGGGGUGGAGAGGACGGUGGACUCAGUGGACGACAUCUCAGCCAUUUACCUUAUGGGUAAAUUGACAUCACUUAUACAAUCAAUCAAGCAAAUUUCAAUGGCUUUUUUUCCCCCACCAGCAGAUGUCAGUGCUUUUAUAGUAACCCGGCCUACACCAGGGGAACACGGGACAUACAGAGCACCACUGUUCCUGCCUCUUUCUCCCUGUGUGAUGACAUAUCCUGUUUAGGCACCUGGCCAGCUGAGUGCAGAGUUAAGACAUAAUAACAUGGUGUUUGAGAAGAGGUGUCUGGUGUGGGAGGAAGACAUGGAGAUGCACUCCAAGUUUCUGGACAAAGGAAGAGUUGAAGGCGGCGCAUGCCUUGUACCUGCAGCAGCACCUGGAGCUCCUUGCCAUGAUGGCCAACUUCUUGCAGUUCCUUUCCCCACAAACUGAGCAAUGUUUUGCCCUUCGACUUCUCCCCCUUCGCCUCCCACUGACCUCCAGGUGGCACAUUCAACAUCUCUCCUUGUCAACACACUGGCUGCGUCUCAGUAGUCUGUUAGCUUCCUCUCACAGGCACUUUAGUGAGGACAAUACUCUUGUCAUUAUUAUGUACAGAGGCCCCCAUCAAAUAUUAAUGCUUUAAUGGAAGUUUUAUAUUUUAAUUGUGUGAUAGUUUUUUACAGUUAUUGUUUGACUGAGCUUCACUGAAAACAAUUCCAAUGAACUCUGUUGAUAUCGCAAGAGUUGGUUAAGUCUUGUAUAUUUUCCAUGGUUGACUUGUUAAGAACUUUAUUCUCAAGUGUGGUAAUUUUAGUAACUGCUACUUUGCUUUGAAAGACUAAAGUUACUAAUGCUAUUGUUUGGAUAACUUUACUGCCCUUAUUUCCUAGGGAAAUUAUCAUGUAUACUCCCAACACUAAUUCAUUACAAAACGGACAGCUGGCGAAGAUGUACAAUGAUUCAUAAAUGUACAGAACCUGCUGCAUUUACUAACAAGUCAAUGUUUUUAUUGUAACAUAUUUAACAAACAAGUUCACGUCAAACAAGUUCACGUCAAGAAAAAAUAUAAUGAGUUCCAACAUUUGACACCCUUGAAAAAGGUGAAAAGCUUCAAGUUCCUCUGUGUACAUAUGAAAUGGUACGCCCACACAGUGUAGUGAAGGUGCAACAGCGCCUCUUCAACCUAUAGAGGCUGAAGAAAUUCGGCUUGGCUGCUAAGACCCUCACAAACUUUUACAGAUGCGCCAUUGAGAGCAUCCUGUCGGGAUAUGUAUCACUGCGUGGUACAGCAACUGCACCAUCUGCAACCGCAGGGCUUGCCAGAGGGUGGUGCUGUCUGCCCAAUGCAUCACUGGGGGCACACUGCCUGCCCUCCAGGACAUUUAAAGCACCUGCUGUCACAGGAAAGCCAAGAAGUUCAUCAAGGACCUCAGCCACCUGAGCCAUGGCCUGUUAACCCCGCUACUAUCCAGAAGGGGAGAUCAGUACAGGUGCAUCAAAGCUGGGACCGAGAGACUGAAAAACAGCUUCUAUCUCAAGGCCAUCACAGUUAAAUAGUCACCACUAGCUGGCCUCUGCCCAGAACAGUACCCUGCCCUGAACUUUAGUCGCUGUAACUAGCUGGCUACCACCCAGUUACUCAACCCUGCACCUUAGAGGUUGCUGCCCCUAAGUACAUAGUCAAAGAACACUGGUCACUUUAGUAUUGUUUACAUACUGUUUGACCCACAUGUAUAUACUGUAUUCUAGUUAUGUCCUAUCCUAUUUAACUAUUGCUGUACAUAUACCAUUCUAUCCUACAUAUUCUACAGAUAUACUACAUAUUGUAUCCAUAAACUGUCCAUAAUAUCUAUACAUCCCAUCACAUACAGUGCCUUCGGAAAGUAUUCAGACCCCUUGACUUUUUCCACAAUUUAUGUUACAGCCUUAUUCUAAAAUGUAUUAAAUAAAACAAAUUAUUCAGCAAUCAACACACAAAACCCCAUAAU